CUCUCCCUCUCUUCAAGCUCUCGCUUAAGCGCCCGAGCUCUUCUCUUUCAUUUCUUGAUUCCAGUUUCAAAAAUUUUUGAAAGAAAGGUAGAUUUUUAUCCUAAUCUUAAAUGAGAAUCAUUAAAUAGAUAACAAGUAAAAGAAGUCGUUCAAGAUCUUAGGGGAAAUAAAGGAGUUCGCUUUUUCUUUCUUAAUGGCUGAGAUAUGCUGUGGAGUAGUAAGUGACAGUGAAGCGUCGAUGCCUUGUGAAGGGAGUCCGAGAGCAGCUAGGCGGAGGAGAAUGGAGAUCAGACGGUUCAAAUUCGUCACAGGUGUUGUCCCAUCCUCGCCGGAGACGGCAGAAAGUAAUAAACGGCGUAAAAUUGAAGUUCACACGGCCUUAUUGCCAGCUUCUCGCCACGAGGACUCAGUAGUGAAGAAUCAAGACAAAAGAAUCGUACUAAAGGUUGAAAAUGGAAAAUUGGAAACUACAGAAAUUAUAUUUUCAAGCAAGUCUCUGAAUCUGGUUCUAAGUCCGACCUUUUCAUCACCUCCCAUUGAUCCAGACUUGUAUCCGAAAUACGGCGUCGCUUCAGUCUGCGGAAGGAGAAGAGACAUGGAAGAUGCUGUGGCAAUUUACCCUUUUUUCUGUUGCAAGGACCAAGAUUCCACUACUGAAUUACACUAUUUUGGCGUCUACGACGGCCAUGGUUGCUCUCACGUGGCAGUCAGGUGCAAAGAGAGAUUGCAUGAGCUGGUGGAGGAAGAAUUGCUAGAGAGCAAGGAAGCAACAGUAGUAGAGGCGGCGACGGCGAAAUGGAAAAGCGCGAUGGAGAGGAGCUUCUCGCGGAUGGACAAAGAGGUGAUCGCGUGGAAUGAAGGUGUCGUUGGCGCUAGUUGCAGGUGUGAGAUGCAAACCCCAGAAUGCAACGCCGUUGGAUCUACAGCUGUGGUUGCAGUCGUAACCCCUGACAAGAUUAUCGUGGCCAACUGUGGUGACUCUAGAGCUGUCUUGUGCCGCAAUGGCAAGCCUAUCCCCCUCUCUACUGAUCACAAGGUUCGCACUCCUUUCUCAAAACCCUAAAUGCUAAAGAAUUCUUUUUAGUGAUCAAAGAUAUUUAAACCCAGUGAUUUGCAUGUGUUUGAAGAGCAACGGGCUUUUGCCAUUUCAUUUGCUUUCCCUUCCGAUUUUCUUACAACCAAACAAGAGUCCUUGCAUUAUGAAUUUCAAAACUUCCUAAUUAACUUGGGCUCUCUCGGGAUGCGUGCUAACAGCCGGACCGUCCAGAAGAGUGGAACAGGAUCCAAGCCGCCGGUGGACGUGUUAUAUACUGGGAUGUUCCACGAGUGCUCGGAGUUCUGGCAAUGUCGAGAGCGAUAGGUAUUUUAAGAAGUUUAUGGGAAAAAUGGCGCGAUUUCUAGUAUUGAUUAUCUCACAUCUUGUGAUAAUGAUCCGCAUAGGUGAUAACUAUCUAAAACCGUACGUGAGCUGUGAGCCAGAGGUGACGAUAACGGAUCGGACAGCGGAGGAUGAUUGCUUGAUACUGGCCAGCGACGGGCUUUGGGACGUGGUGUCGAACGACACAGCAUGUGGAGUGGCGCGUAUGUGUUUGAGAGGGAAAGGACAGGUGCAGCAGUCAUGUUCUCCGCCAGAGAACGAGGUGGUGGGCUGUGGAAGUGCAGCCAGCAGCGGAUGCGGUGAAAUGUCGGAUAAGGCAUGCUCGUAUGCGUCGAUGUUUCUGACGAAGUUGGCUCUGGCCAGGCACAGUACUGACAACGUGAGCGUGGUCGUGGUGGAUCUAA
rnacentral:misc_RNA from 1 species